GAUGAAGAACGUAGCGAAAUGCGAUAAGUAAUGUGAAUUGCAGAAUUCAGUGAAUCAUCGAAUCUUUGAACGCAUCUUGCGCUCCUUGGUAUUCUGAGGAGCAUGCCUGUUUGAGUGUCAUUAAAUUCUCAACUACACUGACUUUGAACUGGUGUGGCUUGGAUUUGGGUGGGAAAAUUGUUGUGGGCUUUUUGUAUAGUCUGCUCCCCUGAAAUUGAUUAGCGGUACCUUUGUGGAACUGUCUACAGGUGUGAUAAUUAUCUACAUCCUAGACAUCUGCUGGAAUGCUGCUUUCUAAACCUUACUUGUAUUGACAAUCUUGACCUCAAAUCAGGUAGGACUACCCGCUGAACUUAAGCAUAUCAAUAAGCGGAGGA
rnacentral:misc_RNA from 1 species